rnacentral:rRNA from 1 species
CACGUAGGGGGCAAGCGUUGUCCGGAUUUAUUGGGCGUAAAGAGCUCGUAGGCGGUUCGGUAAGUCAGGUGUGAAACCUCCAGGCUCAACCUCGAGCCUGCAUUCGAUACUGGGCGGCUAGAGUCUGGUAGGGGGAUCUGGAAUUCCUGGUGUAGCGGUGAAAUGCGCAGAUAUCAGGAGGAACACCGGUGGCGAAGGCGGAUCUCUGGGCCUUACCUGACGCUGAGGCGCGAAAGCUAGGGGAGCGAACAGG